AUUCGAUUUCACUCCGUCGAUCAGUUUAUAUUUACUUCUGUGCCAAGUCACACUUCUUGUCAUUCUUAUUUAUUUUAUAUCAACAAAUAAUAGUUCGCAAAUUUAUCAGAGUAAAAUAAAAUCCAAAAAAAAAAAAACAAUUUUUAUCGCACGGAUCGAAGGGAAAAAAGGAGAAAGAGGAGCCCCACCUUACAAGAGAAUUCAAGUCGAGAGCACGCCAGGGACAGGCUUGUCGAAUGUUAACAAGACUCGUACACCUCUGCAAGUAUAUACGUGGAUUCAUAUACAUAUAGAGGGAGAAUAUAUACACCCGACGUAACAUAACCUCGACUAACCUCACCUAACCUCCACUCCCGAGAACCGCGAGGCUGGCGAUGCCGCGUAUGAUUUGUAGCUCCUUCGCUAUUGGUCCGCCAGGCUCGAUCAACAAGAUCGUGGUGGUCUCCCGCAAGAACCGCACCAGGAUCAAUCGUGACUGCUUGGAAUGAGACCGAAGAUGAGGAUGAGGUCGCGGACAGAUCAACGAGCUAGACGUCGAGCUGAUUACGUAGCACGUUAUCAUUUUUUGCUCCAAGUGUCAGCUGGUCAGUGUCUGGUACCGGCUCGGGGGUGCAACGAGUCAUCUCUAAGCUUCAACAGAACAAUUUUAUGGCCGACAGAUUCGCGAAUAUCAGGCCCUAGUGUGGAUACUGUGCUAAAGGCCUAUUUCAAGUCCCCCUUUGGUAAUUGAUAUUAUUACAACGCUGUCCCUCCCAUUAUGUUAUAAAUGUUACUCGACUCGAUUAUCCGAGUUUUGUUAUCCCUCUUUCGUAAACUGAAUUAUAUAUGACAAUUUUUUGGUUUAAUGGUUCAGGGAAUUAUUGAUUAUCGAGAAUUUUGAAAAUAAAUAUUUUGAGUGACAUUCGAUGGAUUUUCUAUUAAUAUCAGAUAAUUUAAUAAAUCUAUAUUAUUAAGAGAGUAAAAAAAAUUUUGUGUCCAGGAUCGG